UAGGCUUCCCAGAGUCUCCACCCCUUGUCCAGCAGGACCAUCAUUUCUUUCAGUGACCAUCUCCUCCCACUGCUGUGGUCUGGAAGCUUCUGUUGCAUCAUCCCGUGACUGUGAAGGAAGAAGUCCAGGGAUUGUUUCUUUAGGAGACAUCAGAGAAGAUGGGAGGUGUGUGGGAAAGCAAGUGUUGGAGACUGGACAAUGGUACGGAGGAAGGAGAAAAACCGUGACUGCAUGGUCUGAACUGUGAAGAUGCACAGAGUGAUACGUCUUGUGGCAAUGACUGACUUCUAGCUGGUGUACCUCAGGAGCUGCAAGGCCUUCUGGGAGAAGACUCACUAGCUGGUCCAGUUCACCAUUAGGUAACUCACUCAUCAGUACCAUGCACAGGGGUGAUGGGAAUCCUUAGCCCUGUGCCCCAACUGCCUUUUAAG
rnacentral:lncRNA from 1 species